rnacentral:lncRNA from 1 species
CUUCCUAAAAUAAUGAACAAGUCCACACUAACCAUGGACUAAAUAACUUACCAUGUUUUGUAAACACUUUCUAUGUGUUAUAUGUCAUAUAUAUAACUUAAUCCUAUAGAUCUCCUACCAUUAUUAACCACAUUUUUACAAAGGCAGGACAGGCUCAGUAACAUGUCCAAUUUACUGACCUCAAGUCUGGUCUUAACUAAAAUUGAAGGCAGAUAACAGCUGGAAAGCCUGGGAAAGAAGCCUUGACUUCAAGCCAAAACUGCAUCCAUGACCCUUCAGACUGACAUUUUCCCUAAGAGGCUUCCUCCUCCAGUGUUGAUCAGACUCUUGUUCCAGACUGAAGGAAACACUCUGAAAGACAUAGACUUUACAAGAGCCACAGAUCUCAGGAAAAAAAUUACUGAGUAUUACAGGAGUUUCCUUAGGUGCAAAGGACAAGGCAGAACUAUCUGUUAAGACAGAAAGAAGAGAGAAUCAUCUUCCAAUUAACUCUGACAACAUGAAAGUGCUUCAAAAGAACUUGCUGGAUGUUCCAAAGCCCCCCACAGGGUGCAGUCCCAACCAGGCCACUGGAAUGCAUAAGGACAUUUACCAACCAGACGGUCACGGAACUCGUCAUGGCAAGGUAUCCGCCGCUUUGGCAGAAAAAAGAAGCCCCACCUACCGCUGCCGCUGCCCCCACCAGAUCCAGGUUUAACCCCAACCUUCGUCCCUUUGUCAAUUUGAAGCAGCUCCAGAAGAGACUUUCACCCAAUAACCAUAAAACAAAACCUUAUAAUGUUAGAUUUCCCUUGCCUUAAGAUGGCUGCCACAGGGAAUAGCAGCCUCUAUGUUAAAAUAUGGCGUCUCCCAACAAUGCACAGGCUUCUUCUUCCCAUCAUGCCUCUUCUCCCGCCAAAAGAGUAACCUGAUACUCGCUACCGCCUAGCAGCUGGUGAUGUCAUAAGCCCCGCCUAGUGAUGUCACAGGCUCCUCCAAUCUCUUAAUACUACCUCACUCAACUCCACCCCAGCUCAGGCUAAUCCCACCCCGCUCCUAUAAAAGAAGCUCCCUGUUCUGACAUGUUGCUUUUUCCUCCUUUGUUCAGAGACCUUCUGCUAGAUCCUCCUCAUAAUAAAGGCAUGUUAUGGUUCUGGUCAGCUCUUUUUACCUAACAAUUCCAGCUUUUCCUCAGACAUGCCAAAGAUUUUGAUCUCCAAAACAACCCAGUUGAUGCAGGCUUGCUUUUUAGUGUAGGAAACAUUCAAAAAGGUUUAAAAACUUGCCCAGACUCAUGUAGUUAAGUUGCAAAAUAAACUGGGAUUUAAACCCAGGCCACUCCUGACUCCAUGGCUUCUGAUACUUUUAUAAAGCAAAACAACUUCACUGGGAAGGCUAAGGUCUUAGAUUGCAAGUGCAAAUCCAGAUCCACAGGGCAGAACACAACCUACACCCCUCAUUUCUGAGUUCAAGUAACUCUUAGCCGCUCCUUCCCUAGCUACCCUCCCAAGAAAAAUGACUACCUUUUAAAAGUAUGUCUGGAGAGAGCAAUCCCGGCGCUGCCCGGAGGCGGUGGCCUGGCGUGGGUCCCAGGGUUGAACAUCGCCUUGCGCUGCCUGCGGGAGUAGCCAGGCCCGAGGUCGCAGAGGCGCUGGCAUUGUCCCGGAGCUGGCAGCCUAGCCCUGCGCGAGAGGGCGGCCGGGUCUGCGCUGGUGGACUGGAAGGCUAGUAAACGAGGCCGGCUUGCCCGGGACAAAGGGAGUCUGGGGCUGAGAAGGAGCCCGAGGGUUCAGAGUCUAGUGCUCUUUUCCGCCACGGCCCCCCUGACCAGCGCGUCGGCCGCGGCACUCUCCUCAAACAGCCCACCCGGCCGUGGAGGGCGCGCUGGCGUC